UACAGAGGCCUCGAGCGUUAGGCGGAAUCACUGGGCUUGAAGCGUGUGUAGGUGGAUGCCUAAGUACCUUGUGAAAUCCCACGGCUCAACCGUGGAACUGCUCGGUAUACUGGGUGUCUUGAGCCACUUAGGGGCUACCGGAACAAAUGGUGGAGCGGUGAAAUGCGUAGAUAUCAUUUGGAACGCCAAUGGUGAAAACAGGUAGCUGGGAGUGUGCUGACACUGAGACACGAAAGCCAGGGGAGCGAACGGG
rnacentral:rRNA from 1 species